rnacentral:rRNA from 1 species
GAUGAACGCUGGCGGCGUGCCUAAUACAUGCAAGUCGAGCGAACGGACGAGAAGCUUGCUUCUCUGAUGUUAGCGGCGGACGGGUGAGUAACACGUGGAUAACCUACCUAUAAGACUGGGAUAACUUCGGGAAACCGUAGCUAAUACCGGAUAAUAUUUUGAACCGCAUGGUUCAAAAGUGAAAGACGGUCUUGCUGUCACUUAUAGAUGGAUCCGCGCUGCAUUAGCUAGUUGGUAAGGUAACGGCUUACCAAGGCAACGAUGCAUAGCCGACCUGAGAGGGUGAUCGGCCACACUGGAACUGAGACACGGUCCAGACUCCUACGGGAGGCAGCAGUAGGGAAUCUUCCGCAAUGGGCGAAAGCCUGACGGAGCAACGCCGCGUGAGUGAUGAAGGUCUUCGGAUCGUAAAACUCUGUUAUUAGGGAAGAACAUAUGUGUAAGUAACUGGGCACAUCUUGACGGUACCUAAUCAGAAAGCCACGGCUAACUACGUGC